rnacentral:rRNA from 1 species
CCUACGGGAGGCAGCAGUGAGGAAUAUUGGUCAAUGGCCGGAAGGCUGAACCAGCCAAGCCGCGUGAAGGACGAAGGUGCCAAGCAUUGUAAACUUCUUUUGUCAAGGGACAAAAUCAGGCUCGAGAGCCUGACCGAGGGUACUUGAAGAAAAAGCAUCGGCAAACUCCGUGCCAGCAGCCGCGGUAAUACGGGGGAUGCGAGCGUUAUCCGGAUUUAUGGGGUUUAAGGGGUGCGUGGGCGGACGGUUAAGUCAGCGGUAAAAGCCCGGGGCCGAACCCCGGCGAGCCUUUGAAACUGGCUGUCUUGAGAUGUCGAGAGGGAUGCGGAAUGCGCGGUGUAGCGGUGAAAUGCUUAGAGAUUGCGCAGAACUCCGGUUGCGAAGGCAGCAUACCGGCGGCGAUCUGACGCUGAGGCACGAAAGCGUGGGUAGCGAACAGGAUUAGAUACCCUAGUAGUC